CAGCCGCCGCGGUAAUACGUAGGGUGCGAGCGUUCAUCGGAUUUACUGGGCGUAAAGCGUGCGCAGGCGGCCCGUUAAGACAGGUGUGAAAUCCCUGGGCUCAACCUAGGAAUUGCGCUUGUGACUGGCGGGCUCGAGUACGGUAGAGGGGGGUGGAAUUCCUGGUGUAGCAGUGAAAUGCGUAGAGAUCAGGAGGAACACCGAUGGCGAAGGCAGCCCCCUGGGCCUGUACUGACGCUCAUGCACGAAAGCGUGGGGAGCAACCAGGAUUAGAUACCCUGGUAGUCCACGCCCUAAACGAUGGGUACUAGCCGUUUGGUGCGCGAGAGCGCUGAGUGGCGAAGCUAACGCGUGAAGUACCCCGCCUGGGGAGUACGGCCGCAAGGUUGAAACUUAAAGGAAUUGGCGGG
rnacentral:rRNA from 1 species